AAAUUCGGGAUGUAAAGUUACUCAUAGGAGAUAACAGUUGGAUGUGUGCAACAAAGACUACCAAAUUAUCUCAUCAAACGAUGAAAUCACUAGACGUUGAGAUCAAAUAUUGCACUUCCGGGAGGGGAGUGUCAUGGGUCAUAAUGCUUAUUCUUUUCUUGGAUUUAGCAUUGAAACCGACAAUGCAACUAAAGACUUGGGGUAGAAGAUGCUCACAAAGUCACACCCUUAUGCUUACUAGUCAUGUCGAACGGGAGAAGCCAUUAAAAUGCAGCUUAUCUCAUCAAUUGUCUUCCUU